UCCAAAGAUUGUCCUGGGUGCUGUUGAAAGGCAGUUAAAGAACAAAGCUACGAUCAGGCAUAGUCAACAUGGGUUCAUCAAGGGAAGAAAAUCAUCACUUGGAACAAAGGAGUUUUGAAUUGGAGUAAUUAUUUGAGGCUGUGUAACAUUGCUGUCAUUUCAGUGAGAUCCUCCUACACUGCCCUUUCACCUCUUAUUUAGACAAUGGAAUUUGGAUGAGAAAGCUGAAGCACCCAAGAGAUUUACUUGAGCUUAUAGUCGAAAGAAGAAUAUAAAGCCUGUUUCCUGAAAUGAAGUCUGCACAUAAUGAAUAUAGUAAGAAUUUCUGGGUGAGCUUUUCCCCAGUAAUAUCAUUUCUGCUGACAAAAAAAAUUUACAGAUUCAUUAACUUACCAUUCGAAGUUUUUCCAUUUUAGCAUGAACAUUAAAAAAUGCAAAACAAAACAAUUCCUCAAACACUGUCUUUGUGUUGAUCUUUUUAUGUGCAUGUGUGUGUUAAAACAUUGUUAGUAAGUAGUUUUCAGAGACUUUGGUGACCUCAGAUAUUUUCAGUACUUCUCUGAUUCACAACACUUAUACACAUACUUUUAUAUUUUGCAGUUCAUCUCUAACUGUAGUAUUUGUACAUUAAACAAAAGCACAUAUGCUAAAUGUA